UUUGCCAUUCUGUCAUGUGUCCUAUUCAGCAUGAAACCACACAGAUUUAAACUCACCAUGUGGAGGAGGAACAUAGGAUUUAUGUGGAAAACCACAUACAGUGGUAGUACAGUUGGAGAUACCUCCCACCAUGGGAGGUAUGGCUAAGGCUAUGUAGCAUGACCAAAUGGCCGGACUCUGAGGUGAUUGAUACAGGGAAGGAGAGACUGAUAAGCCCCUGGGAGAGAGCAGCUGAGGAAGACAUCCUCUGUCAUCAGUUACACUAGAUUAGGAAGUUCCACGGCUAUGUAGCAACAAAGAGCAAUCUGUGGAUCUCCACCCCACUGGCCCACUAUACUGUCCUGAAGAUCCAUCUGUUCCAGCACCCUCAAUAAUGCCAUACAUCACCACCUUCCUGGCCCAUCACACCGGGAUCCAGCACCAGGUGUUUGUGCAGAGUGAAAGGACGGCCUGUGGGAGGUUAAAAGAAGCGGCAUCCUGAGGCUGAUGUAAUAAGGCUGUAAUGAUGCUUGCUUUGAUGACAGAACAAUAUUCCUACUGGCAAUGUAUGCAUUAUACCGGUCACAUGGUGCAAAGCAGAGGGAACACACGGAAAUCAUCAAUGGAGAUCAAUACAGUAUAACCCCCCAGGGGUAAAUAGGUGAAAUGGUUGUCAUAUUCAAAUAGCAGUGGACUGUAGACAGCAAUUAAAUCAAACAGACGGGAAUUUAUCCCAUGAAACCUCUACAAUGGUCUUUGUGAGCUGCUAUUGUUCUUGUCAAUGUGUCUCUGUAUGCCCACUAAAAAGGAUUCUUGUACAUUCACUGGCAUAUCAAAUGACUUUUACUCAGAACCAUUAAUUUACGCUUCAGUUUCACAAUUUGUCAA